AUACCAGCUCUCCGAGUGGUGUGGACGUUUAUUGGGCCUAAAGCAUCCGUAGCUGGCUGAACAAGUCCCCUGUUAAACCCACCGAUUUAAUCGUUGGUCUGCGGGGGAUACUGCUCGGCUAGGGGACGAGAGAGGCAGACGGUAUUCCCGGGGUAGGGGUGAAAUCCUAUAAUCCCGAGAAGACCACCAGUGGCGAAGGCUGUCUGCUAGAACGCGCCCGACGGUGAGGGAUGAAAGCUGGGGGAGCGAACCGGAUUAGAUACCCGGGUAGUCCCAGCUGUAAACGAUGCAGGCUAGGUGUUUGGACGGCCACGUGCCGUUCUAGUGCCGCAGGGAAGCUGUUAAGCCUGCCGCCUGGGGAGUACGAUCGCAAGAUUGAA
rnacentral:rRNA from 1 species